rnacentral:rRNA from 1 species
GACGUAGGGGGCCAGCGUUGUUCGGAAUUAUUGGGCGUAAAGGGCGCGUAGGCGGUGCGGUAAGUCACCUGUGAAACCUCUGGGCUUAACUCAGAGCCUGCAGGCGAAACUGCCGUGCUUGAGUGUGGGAGAGGUGCGUGGAAUUCCCGGUGUAGCGGUGAAAUGCGUAGAUAUCUGGAGGAACACCGGUGGCGAAGGCGGCGUUCUGGACUGCAACUGACACUGAGGAACGAAAGCCAGGGGAGCAAACGGG